GACGAACGCUGGCGGCGUGCCUAAUACAUGCAAGUUGAGCGCUGAAGGUUGGUACUUGUACCAACUGGAUGAGCAGCGAACGGGUGAGUAACGCGUGGGGAAUCUGCCUUUGAGCGGGGGACAACAUUUGGAAACGAAUGCUAAUACCGCAUAAAAACUUUAAACACAAGUUUUAAGUUUGAAAGAUGCAAUUGCAUCACUCAAAGAUGAUCCCGCGUUGUAUUAGCUAGUUGGUGAGGUAAAGGCUCACCAAGGCGAUGAUACACAGCCGACCUGAGAGGGUGAUCGGCCACAUUGGGACUGAGACACGGCCCAAACUCCUACGGGAGGCAGCAGAAGGGAAUCUUCGGCAAUGGACGAAAGUCUGACCGAGCAACGCCGCGUGAGUGAAGAAGGUUGUCGGAUCGUAAAACUCUGUUGGUAGAGAAGAACGUUGGUGAGAGUGGAAAGCUCAUCAAGUGACGGUAACUACCCAGAAAGGGACGGCUAACUACGUG
rnacentral:rRNA from 1 species